rnacentral:rRNA from 1 species
UACGAAGGGGGCUAGCGUUGCUCGGAAUCACUGGGCGUAAAGCGCACGUAGGCGGACUCUUAAGUCAGGGGUGAAAUCCUGGAGCUCAACUCCAGAACUGCCCUUGAUACUGGGAGCCUUGAGUUCGGGAGAGGUGAGUGGAACUGCGAGUGUAGAGGUGGAAUUCGUAGAUAUUAGGAAGAACACCAGUGGCGAAGGCGGCUCACUGGUCCGGUACUGGACGCUGAUGUGCGAAAGCGUGGGGAGCAACAGG